rnacentral:rRNA from 1 species
UACAGAGGUCCCAAGCGUUGUUCGGAUUCACUGGGCGUAAAGGGUGCGUAGGUGGUGGGGUAAGUCGGAUGUGAAAUCUCCGAGCUCAACUCCGAAAUGGCAUUGGAUACUACCCUGCUGGAGGGCUGGAGGGGGGACUGGAAUACUUGGUGUAGCAGUGAAAUGCGUAGAUAUCAAGAGGAACACCAGUGGCGAAGGCGAGUCCCUGGACAACUCCUGACACUGAGGCACGAAAGCCAGGGGAGCAAAC